AGUGAACGCUGGCGGUAGGCCUAACACAUGCAAGUCGAACGGCAGCACAGUAAGAGCUUGCUCUUACGGGUGGCGAGUGGCGGACGGGUGAGGAAUACAUCGGAAUCUACUUUUUCGUGGGGGAUAACGUAGGGAAACUUACGCUAAUACCGCAUACGACCUACGGGUGGAAGCAGGGGAUCUUCGGACCUUGCGCGAUUGAAUGAGCCGAUGUCGGAUUAGCUAGUUGGCGGGGUAAAGGCCCACCAAGGCGACGAUCCGUAGCUGGUCUGAGAGGAUGGUCAGCCACACUGGAACUGAGACACGGUCCAGGCUCCUGCGGGAGGCAGCAGUGGGGAAUAUUGGACAAUGGGCGCAAGCCUGAUCCAGCCAUACCGCGUGGGUGAAGAAGGCCUUCGGGUUGUAAAGCCCUUUUGUUGGGAAAGAAAAGCAGCAGGUUAAUACCCCGCUGUUCUGACGGUACCCAAAGAAUAAGCACCGGCUAACUUCGUG
rnacentral:rRNA from 1 species